GGUCCCCGUCUUUGUGCGGCCGACUACCGGCGCCGUGUCCCGUCAUUUGUGUGGCUUAUGUUACUGUUGCCUUUAAGUGCUUGCGUGCUGGUACCCGACCUACGGGAAGUGGUGCAUCAUACAUGGUUGCCUCGCGGUGGACGCCUUCGGGUGUGCUGCUGCGGCCAAAUGGCGCUUGCGGCGUUGCCUCGUGGUGCUGGCACGUUUUCGUGCCUGGUGCUAUCAGGGCAGCCUCGCUCCCGCUGUUGGUUUUGGAUGUCGCUCACGAUAAAAGMUCAUGGCCCUUUUGGGUUGCCUUGAACUGACCCUAAAUAUGCCUUCCUCGUUGAGAACAACCGUCAGCUGUUGCCUCAACUCGUAGGUGGAUAUUGGCCCGCUCAAUUGCGACAACCGGCCCGGCGGUUGCCUCUGCCUUUCCACGUAAGUGGACGGGCGAACGACUGUCGGCGCUGGACGUCAAAGAGGACGUGCUACCUGGUUGAUCCUGCCAGUAGUCAU
rnacentral:misc_RNA from 1 species